rnacentral:lncRNA from 1 species
AUAAUUGCAUCGAACGGAGGCCGAGAAGGGCCUCAUCAGAGGCAAAAACUGAGGAGGGGCGCAGCGGCACCGCUGGGCUUCGGCUGGAUUUUUCGGCCGUUUGGCCGGUGGUUUGGCUCCGAUUUGGCCAUAGGCGAACUCAGCAUCGAAAAACGAGCAAGGGGGAGAAAAUUUACCUCGAUCGGCGGUCGAAAACAUCCCCCGGUGCGGCGGCGGGUGACGGCGGCCGGCUCCUCCGGCGUCUAGUUCUUCUUCUCCGGUGAGGCACUGGCGGAUAGGGUUUUUGUGGUCAGGUGUGGGUGGGGUUAUUUAUAACUUUUGCCUUUUAAUCUCAACCGUCCAUCAAGAUUAAAUCUGGACCGUUCGAU